GACGAACGCUGGCGGCGUGCCUAAUACAUGCAAGUAGAACGCACAGUUUAUACCGUAGCUUGCUACACCAUAGACUGUGAGUUGCGAACGGGUGAGUAACGCGUAGGUAACCUGCCUGGUAGCGGGGGAUAACUAUUGGAAACGAUAGCUAAUACCGCAUCAUAUUGAUUAUUGCAUGAUAAUUGAUUGAAAGAUGCUAUUGCAUCACUACCAGAUGGACCUGCGUUGUAUUAGCUAGUAGGUGAGGUAACGGCUCACCUAGGCGACGAUACAUAGCCGACCUGGGAGGGUGAUCGACCACACUGGGACUGGGACCCGGCCCAGACUCCUACGGGAGGCAGCAGUAGGGAAUCUUCGGCAAUGGACGAAAGUCUGACCGAGCAACGCCGCGUGAGUGAAGAAGGUUUUCGGAUCGUAAAGCUCUGUUGUAAGAGAAGAACGGGUGUGAGAGUGGAAAGUUCACACUGUGACGGUAUCUUACCAGAAAGGGACGGCUAACUACGUG
rnacentral:rRNA from 1 species